UACGGAGGGUGCAAGCGUUAUCCGGAUUCACUGGGUUUAAAGGGUGCGUAGGCGGGCAGGUAAGUCCGUGGUGAAAUCUCUGAGCUUAACUCAGAAACUGCCAUGGAUACUAUUUGUCUUGAAUAUUGUGGAGGUUAGCGGAAUAUGUCAUGUAGCGGUGAAAUGCUUAGAUAUGACAUAGAACACCAAUUGCGAAGGCAGCUAACUACACAGUUAUUGACGCUGAGGCACGAAAGCGUGGGGAUCAAACAGG
rnacentral:rRNA from 1 species